CUUGACAUCCAGAGAAUUUAGCAGAGAUGCUUUAGUGCCUUCGGGAACUCUGAGACAGGUGCUGCAUGGCUGUCGUCAGCUCGUGUUGUGAAAUGUUGGGUUAAGUCCGCAACGAGCGCAACCCUUAUCCUUUGUUGCCAGCACGUAAUGGUGGGAACUCAAAGGAGACUGCCGGUGAUAAACCGGAGGAAGGUGGGGAUGACGUCAAGUCAUCAUGGCCCUUACGAGUAGGGCUACACACGUGCUACAGUGGCGCAUACAAAGAGAAGCGACCUCGCGAGAGCAAGCGGACCCCAUAAAGUGCGUCGUAGUCCGGAUUGGAGUCUGCAACUCGACUCCAUGAAGUCGGAAUCGCUAGUAAUCGUAAAUCAGAAUGUUACGGUGAAUACGUUCCCGGGCCUUGUACACACCGCCCGUCACACCAUGGGAGUGGGUUGCAAAAGAAGUAGAUAGCUUAACCUUCGGGAGGGCGUUUACCACUUUGUGAUUCAUGACUGGGGUGAAGUCGUAACAAGGUAAGCGUAGUGCU
rnacentral:rRNA from 1 species